GCAGGGAUAGCUCAGUUGGGAGAGCGUCAGAUUGAAGAUCUGAAUGCCGCGUGUCCGAUCCCCGCUCACCGCA
rfam:Jatropha curcas cultivar GZQX0401 scaffold1078_15, whole genome shotgun sequence.